AACUUUUAGCAAUGGACCACUUGGCUCUCGCAUCGAUGAAGAACGCAGCGAAAUGCGAUAAGUAAUGUGAAUUGCAGAUUUUCAGUGAAUCAUCGAAUCUUUGAACGCACCUUGCGCUCCUUGGUAUUCCGAGGAGCAUGCCUGUUUGAGUGUCAUUAAAUUCUCAACUCCGAUUCGAUUUGUUUCGACCUCGGAGCUUGGACUUUGGAGCGUGCUGGCGUCGGUCGGCUCCUCUCAAAUGCAUCAGCGGAAUCUAACGUUUCGGACGUCAGUGUGAUAAUCACGUUGCGAUGUCGACCGAUCCUGAAAGCCCGCUCAUAAUGGUCUUCGGACAACUUCAUAUCAAAUUUGACCUCAAAUCAGGUAGGACUACCCGCUGAACUUAAGCAUAUCAAUAAGCGGAGGCU
rnacentral:misc_RNA from 1 species